rnacentral:rRNA from 1 species
UGAACGCUAGCGGGAGGCUUAACACAUGCAAGUCGAGGGGCAGCAUUUACUUCGGUAAGAUGGCGACCGGCGCACGGGUGCGUAACGCGUAUGCAACCUGCCUUAUACAAAGGGAUAGCCCAUGGAAACGUGGAUUAAUACCUUAUGGUACUGUAAAACUGCAUAGUUUAACAGUUAAAACUUCGGUGGUAUAAGAUGGGCAUGCGUAGGAUUAGCUAGAUGGUGAGGUAACGGCUCACCAUGGCGACGAUCCUUAGGGGUUCUGAGAGGAUUAUCCCCCACACUGGUACUGAGACACGGACCAGACUCCUACGGGAGGCAGCAGUGAGGAAUAUUGGUCAAUGGACGAGAGUCUGAACCAGCCAUCCCGCGUGCAGGAUGACGGCCCUAUGGGUUGUAAACUGCUUUUCUACGCCAAGAAACCCACCUACGUGUAGGUGGUUGACGGUAGCGUAGGAAUAAGCAUCGGCUAACUCC